rnacentral:tmRNA from 1 species
CUGAAACUCCAGGUGCGUACCGAGGUGCAGGUUACCUCGUUAAACUGACUUGCAAACUCAUAGUUGCCAACGAAGACAACUACGCUCUAGCCGCCUAAUCGCGGCUGAACCUCGACCGGCCCGUGCUGGUGCGAACGGCUCGAGGGUAGCGCUCACCAGCUAGCGGAAUGCACGGGUCCUGGGUGGAUCCCGCGAAUCGUCACAGGGCUGGUCGCCGGCUUUCCCUGCCCGUCGGGUAGCCGGAGACGAGAACAAUAGACUGGGCUACGUACGUAGGUCUUGGAACGUAGGGCUUCUGGACGGGGGUUCGAUUCCCCCCGGCUCCACCA